CCUACGGGUGGCUGCAGUGGGGAAUAUUGCACAAUGGGCGCAAGCCUGAUGCAGCCAUGCCGCGUGUGUGAAGAAGGCCUUCGGGUUGUAAAGCACUUUCAGCGGGGAGGAAGGCGGUGAGGUUAAUAACCUCAUUGAUUGACGUUACCCGCAGAAGAAGCACCGGCUAACUCCGUGCCAGCAGCCGCGGUAAUACGGAGGGUGCAAGCGUUAAUCGGAAUUACUGGGCGUAAAGCGCACGCAGGCGGUCUGUCAAGUCGGAUGUGAAAUCCCCGGGCUCAACCUGGGAACUGCAUUCGAAACUGGCAGGCUAGAGUCUUGUAGAGGGGGGUAGAAUUCCAGGUGUAACGGUGAAAUGCGUAGAGAUCUGGAGGAAUACCGGUGGCGAAGGCGGCCCCCUGGACAAAGACUGACGCUCAGGUGCGAAAGCGUGGGGAGCAAACAGGAUUAGAUACCCUAGUAGUC
rnacentral:rRNA from 1 species